CCCAGCUCUCAGUCAGCUGACCAGGCGAUGUGUGUCUGGCUCAGUGUUACAGUGCUGGUAGAGGAAGUCUCUGUUCUUGGUCUCAGCUCAGCAGGUUCUGUUUUAGAGUCUGCUGCUGCUGAGCUGCUGCAGAGCGCGGCCCGACGAGAGUGGCCUGUCCUGAUUCAACAGCAGGGCAGGCCUAGUACAAGGCCGCACAGG
ensembl:snoRNA SNORA74 Small nucleolar RNA SNORA74